GACGAACGCUGGCGGCGCGCCUAACACAUGCAAGUCGAACGAGCGAGAGAGAGCUUGCUUUCUCAAGCGAGUGGCGAACGGGUGAGUAACGCGUGAGGAACCUGCCUCAAAGAGGGGGACAACAGUUGGAAACGACUGCUAAUACCGCAUAAGCCCACGACCCGGCAUCGGGUUGAGGGAAAAGGAGCAAUCCGCUUUGAGAUGGCCUCGCGUCCGAUUAGCUGGUUGGUGGGGUAACGGCCUACCAAGGCGACGAUCAGUAGCCGGCCUGAGAGGGUGAACGGCCACAUUGGGACUGAGACACGGCCCAA
rnacentral:rRNA from 1 species